GGCAUUCUCUCGAAACAAGUG
rnacentral:miRNA from 1 species